rnacentral:misc_RNA from 1 species
AUGAAUUAAACCGGGGGCGGCGGGGUGCGGCUCAGCACCGGCGGAGACGCCGUGUCGCGGGUUCGCUCCGUCCCCUCAUCCACAACCCACACACAUGUGCACCACAGGGACGGCGGGUGGAUAACGCACGCCGUCUCGCUUUACAAGCUCUGAAGUUUACUUUGAAUGUCAUUUGAUUCGGGCUAGCCCCGAUGUAAUUAAACAUAA